CGACGGGGUUGCGAGCGUUGUCCGGAAUUACUAGGCGUAAAGGGCAGGCAGGCGGAUCCAUAAGUUUAUCGUUUAAGGCGUCGGCUUAACCGGCGUAGGGCGGUAGAUACUGUGGAUCUGGAAUGCGGUUGGGGAAGACAGAAUUCCUGGUGUAGCGGUGGAAUGCGCAGAGAUCAGGAGGAAUACCGAAGGCGAAGGCAGUCUUCCAAGCCGUUAUUGACGCUCAACUGCGAAGGUAUGGGGUAUCAAAACAGGAUUAGAUACCCUGGUAGUCCCUGA
rnacentral:rRNA from 1 species